GGUCGUAUUAGAAUUGCCUUGAAAGCAAUCAGAAGCAAGUGCUUGCGGCCU
rnacentral:tRNA from 1 species